GUCUACAAUCUCUAGACCAUCUUCCAAAAUAAGAUUUAGUGUUUUAUGAAUUAAAUAGAAGAUAUUAAGGUUCAAAAUGCAGAAAUAUGAAAAAAAAACACAAGGCGAAUAAUCUUAUGGCUGGUAUUUCAUGAUAAAUAAAAAAAAGGUAGCCCCGGUGUAUAUAUUUGACACUCCAGAUGUCGAGAAGGAACCGAACAGCUUUUGACACUCCACGACUUGGUUUUAGUGUGGAUCAGCUCAUGGUUUGUCUUCUUAACUUUGGUCUUAUAAUUUCUACUUAUCCCCUGAAAUUGGGUUUACUUGUUUUGAGUUUAGGAAUUGGCGGGCUCGAGUGUUGCCUCUACAAUUGGAGAGGUAAGUGGCUAUGUUAGCAUACUAGUACAAUAUUGUUUUACGGGGGCCAGUUCCACUUGUAUCUAGUUUUUUAUACUGCGCAGAGUCCAUCUGAACUCUCCAUCUACUUUCGACUCUGCCACCAGUGGGAAAACAAUAUAUUUGCAAGAAGGUGGGUUACAUGUUCUAUCAAUAAUAACAAAUUUUUGAAAGCACUUUAUGUCUACUGACAUUGUGUUAUAUUGGUGUGACCAUUAGUCAUAAUUGACAUAGACUUCUUUUAGAAUAGUCAUAAUUAACUUAUAUAUGGAAAUGUCAAAUUGCUGGUUCAGAAAUUCUGUCUAGAUGAGUUGUUGAAGAGGCGCAUUUAGACUAGAUGAGGUUGCAGGAUUUUGGUAUUUCGUGCUCAGAGUCCAAGGUUCAGUUUCGCCAUGAUUAAGUUAAAAUGUGAAGAGAGAGAGAGAGAAUGAAGUUAAAGAGGAAGUGCCAUGAUUACUUUGAUGACUCUCUUAAAACCUCAAAUGGGCAGGAAGAAUAAAAAACAAAUGAAAGAAACCUCAAGCGAAUAUUUGCUUUCUGUUAUACGGACUUAUAGCUUUAUUCCCAACAAUCCAAUAGCUCAUAUAAUGCUGCACAAUCUAAUUUUUCCUUCACUCUCUGAAGGAAAACGAAGUCAUUUGUAGGUAAGAGUGGAGGGAUUUGUGGAGCGAGUUUCUGAGGAGGAAUCUGAACAAUACUUCUCUAGUCUUUCUCGAGAUAUCCAGAUUAGAGUAAGCAGACCAGACCGAUUCAUGGAAGAGAGUUUCUCCGUCAACAGUACAGAGAACUAGAGGAGAAGUAUCAUGACAGUGGCUAUGCUGCUCUAAAAUUUAGGUGAUGAAGAAUCCAACUUUUAGAUUCGCAUCCAUGUCGGGUUACCACACCCGUAUCCUACCAACAUAGCCUAGCGGAAGUAUUCUAUUGAUUGGGAUACAGAACUUCAAUACCAAGACCCAAACAUUGGGGUGGUUACUGGCUUAUUCCAGAGUUUUUCGAGUUUUGGCAAGGGAGAGGAAUCUCAGAUUGCGGCUAUUCUGCGGAGGAGGUUGAUGGAAGAAGAGUAUGGAGAAUUCAUAGAUUGGUCCCACGAUUAGCAGAAUCAGCAUCUUCGUUGUGAGUUGCCCUCGUUGAAAGUUGGCAACUUAUGCAUCACGGCAUGACAGGCAGCUAGCAAUUAGAAUUUAGAUCUUUCCUUUUCUUGUCUCCCCUUCUGAUUUCAGCCCUUGGGAGGUAAUAUUUCUGGGGUGGUGUGUAUAUAUCUACUUCUAUUUGGGACGAGUCUUUUGUUCCCUUUUCCUUUUCAGGUCAUUAAGAUUUGUGUAAAAUGGCUUUCUCUACGUCUGUUCCACCUGACAUUUUUAGAUGAUGUAAACUUUGAGUGGAAAUGGAGUACCAGA